GUGAGGAAUAUUGGACAAUGGGCGCAAGCCUGAUCCAGCCAUGCCGCGUGCAGGAAGACGCAUCUAUGGUGUGUAAACUGCUUUUGUACGGGAAGAAACACUCCCUCGUGAGGGAGCUUGACGGUACCGUAAGAAUAAGGAUCGGCUAACUCCGUGCCAGCAGCCGCGGUAAUACGGAGGAUCCAAGCGUUAUCCGGAAUCAUUGGGUUUAAAGGGUCCGUAGGCGGUUUAAUAAGUCAGUGGUUAAAGCCCAUCGCUCAACGAUGGAACGGCCAUUGAUACUGUUAGACUUGAAUUACAAGGAAGUAACUAGAAUAUGUAGUGUAGCGGUGAAAUGCUUAGAUAUUACAUGGAAUACCAAUUGCGAAGGCAGGUUACUACUUGUGGAUUGACGCUGAUGGACGAAAGCGUGGGGAGCGAACAGGAUUAGAAACCCUUGUAGUCC
rnacentral:rRNA from 1 species